rnacentral:rRNA from 1 species
UACGUAGGUGGCAAGCGUUGUCCGGAUUUACUGGGCGUAAAGAGCGCGCAGGCGGUCGUGCAAGUCGCGUGUGAAAGCCCCCGGCUCAACUGGGGAGGGUCACGCGAUACUGAUCGACUCGAAGGCAGGAGAGGGUAGUGGAAUUCCCGGUGUAGUGGUGAAAUGCGUAGAUAUCGGGAGGAACACCAGUGGCGAAGGCGGCUACCUGGACAAUUGCUGACGCUCAGCACGAAAGCGUGGGGAGCAAAAGGGAGUUAGAAUGACC